rnacentral:lncRNA from 1 species
AAUCGGUGGGUGCGAAACGUCAACAGAACGUCAACAGACGACGCCAUUAACAUACUUGCGUCACAAAAAUCUACUCGUCUAGAUAAAAACACCUUGCCUUCGAGUUAGUUUAUCCUAGUUUCUGUUUUGUAUAUAAUUCGUUAAAUUAAAAGGAUAUUACAGUUUUGUGUAUUUACCUAUUGUAUUCAUGAUUUUGAUUUGUGAUUCACGUUAUUUGCCAUUCAAUCACCGCAAUACUUCUUAAACUUGAUAAUUAAAGUCAUGGGAGAUGUCCACUUCAUGAAACUCGCUUUGUCGUUUUGCUGAAGUAAGCUGUCUUUCUGCAAAGAAAUAAAUGAGAGUAAAGAAAAAACUUCCCAAUGUGAGGUGACAUGAUGUUUCACCUGAUACAUUGUAACCUACAUUCUCUGAGAAAACCUUGGUGGAAUUCUGAGAGUGGUAAUAGUUUCAUAGCUCAUGCUGCCCAAGUAAUAGUGUGGAGCAGGCGUAUCUGUGCUUUACUUUUGCUACAAGCGCUAGAAGAUUGGCAUCACAAAUCAAAUCUUUGUAUUUUCAAUCUACAAUUCAGGUGGAUACAAUAUGUGUGCAUGUGCGCAUGGAAAGAACGCUCGUGUCGAUGACUUUGUCAACGGGGGAAAAAUGUGGUGUAGGCUGAUUUAUUUCAUACCUCGGUUGAAUCACUCAUCAGCCCGUCCCAAGACGCAUAGCUGACUUUUGACUUCAAUUUUUCAUAAUUUAAACCGAAAUAGUGUAGCGGCUGAAGAAAUGAAAUUUGAUUGCUCCCCCCUUUCAAUGUCUUAAAUAAAAUAAUCCCACAGCGCCCAGCGGGGUACAUUAACACAUUGUUACGUCGUCGACGUUCUCUAUGUCAUUCGAUCAAUCUGUUUCUCUUAGCCGGAAUUUCUCUCAACAGUUGUUCGCCGAGGAAAAUCGGCUGACCAAGUCAAAUGGAAAAAAACUAUCAGCCGAUAGCAGCCCGGCGUCUAAAUAUAUAUAGCUAUUCGAUUGAAAUUUAUUGAAAAUGCCACCCAGCUAAAACGUGCUGAAAGCUUCUUCCGCCUCUAUUCCACAAAGACUUAAUUGGAGAUUUCUCAUUCAAGAGCUCAUCCGAGGGACCCCCGUGCUCUUGAAGAAACAAGAGUAAUCGAGUCGACUAAAUAAAUUUAAUUUGAUAAGACUGUUUUCCCAUGAAAUACAAACAUUUUAUUUUCAAAA